AUGUCUCAGUACAAGCCCAUUAAGGUGAAACCGCGAAAGGCUCAUUAAAUCAGUUAUGGUUCCUUAGAUUGUACCCACAUUUACUUGGAUAACUGUGGUAAUUCUAGAGCUAAUACAUGCAAACAGAGCUCCGACCGGAGACGGAAGGAGCGCUUUUAUUAGAUCAAAACCAAUCGGUGGCGUUUGUGCUUAACGGCCAAUCGUCAUCGUGCAAAUAAAUGGUGAAUCUGAAUAACUUUAAGCUGAUCGCAUGGUCUCGAACCGGCGACGCAUCUUUCAAAUGUCUGCCUUAUCAACUGUCGAUGGUAGGUUCUGCGCCUACCAUGGUUGUAACGGGUAACGGGGAAUCAGGGUUCGAUUCCGGAGAGGGAGCCUGAGAAACGGCUACCACAUCCAAGGAAGGCAGCAGGCGCGCAAAUUACCCACUCCCGGCACGGGGAGGUAGUGACGAAAAAUAACGAUACGGGACUCAUCCGAGGCCCCGUAAUCGGAAUGAGUACACUUUAAAUCCUUUAACGAGGAUCAAUUGGAGGGCAAGUCUGGUGCCAGCAGCCGCGGUAAUUCCAGCUCCAAUAGCGUAUAUUAAAGUUGUUGCGGUUAAAAAGCUCGUAGUCGAAUUUGUGUGCAGCGCCGCUGGUUCAUCGUUCGCGGUGUUAACUGGCGUGUCGCUGUACGUAUUGCCGGUGGGCUUAGCUUGCCGUUCAUUUAACUAGAAUUCGUUUUGGUGGGUGUUCCCAAAAGGUCUCCCAUCAGCGGUCUGGUGGUGGCGGUUUUAGCGGCCCAAUAUUAAAUCCUGCCACGGUGCUCUUCAUUGAGUGUCGAGGUGGGCCGGCACAUUUACUUUGAACAAAUUAGAGUGCUUAAAGCAGGCUAAAAUUUCGCCUGAAUAUUUCGUGCAUGGAAUAAUGGAAUAGGACCUCGGUUCUAUUUUGUUGGUUUU
rnacentral:rRNA from 1 species